rnacentral:lncRNA from 1 species
UUCAUUUUUUUUUUCCUGUUGCCAAAGGAGAACAAGGCUCCCUGUCACAGAUCGUGACUCGCCCCCGUACGCCUCACUUCUCCCUUUUUUGAGGCACAACCUCAUUUUCUCCUUCCCUUACCAGACUUACCCCACACAAGACAAGGGACGCCAUUUUUUCGACAAGGUUCCAGCAACCCCUUGGCACAAUAGUGUAGCCAAUACCAUCUCUGAGCCACCCCACAUCAUUCAGGCCAUAGACAUUGCUCUUCCUCUCAUUCACCCAAAAAAGAAAAGGAUCAAUACAAGCGCUGUGUCUUCUCUGCGUCCUGCACCAACACGCAGCCAUCACCAAACAGUCACAGUUCCUCUAUGCACCGUGAGCAUGCACCAGCCAUAGCAGCAUCGUCGUUCAGAACUCUAGCAACCGUGAGCAAGUUCAAGCCAGAAGCAACAGAGGGAACCCUUCUUCCCUUUCCUCCUCGCCUAAAGCAUCAACCACCGGCAUUAGCUACACCCUGCACUGCCAGCAACGACUUUCUCUUCUCAGUAGUGACAGCAUAGACUUCAGUAGCUUGAGCAGCAGCCAUCGUGAGCAAAAGCAGCUGUUUCUCCUCGACCACGGUUGCAGUCAUCCCUCCUCAGCACUAGCAACAACGAGACUAGUAGAGAGAGAGAGAAAGACGGGACAAAAAAAAAGGAAAAGACAGAGAGAACAAAAGGGGAGCGCAGGGGACGAAUACAAGGGACAGACAGAGAGAGACCAGAGAGAAGAAAGAUCAGAGGAAAAAAAAGAAGGAAGAAUAGAAACAGGGAGAGGGAAGCAUUGAUCGCCCAAGAGACCAUCACCUCCCGUUUUCGUCUCCAGCAGCACGCCCAGGCAAGUCUUCUUUCCCCUGCUUUUGCAAAUUCUAUUAACCCAUUCAUGUAGCAAGCCUGCACGCCUGCUGCUUUGCCCAGCCGGGAACCUGCUUGUCAUAACCAUCUUUUUAACAGCGCAGACACCACCUACUUGUUGGAGAAGAAAAAUAAAGCCAAAGAAAAAUCUCGCGUG